rnacentral:lncRNA from 1 species
UUUUUUUUUUACUAAAAGAAUAAAUUUUAUUUCAGCACUGUAAGUCGUUUCUCAACCGUACAAACACGACCACCAUCUUUACAUCAUCAAGCCUCUCCUCCUGUUCCAGUCUUCCUUUGUGAAAUCACUUCCUCCACAGCCAGACGAAUAUAAAAGGGCUCUCUCCACAACAUUCUGGUGCUUCCAUUUUAGCUAACGAUGACAAAUUAUACCGAUCAUAAUUAUAACAGCAAUAAUAGUAGUGAUGAAGAUGAACCUUUUACUGCACUGUUGUUUUGAGGGGGAGGGGCUUACAGUACAUGAUACAGUACACAUUACUGCUGGUUUACAGUUGAUGUAUUACAUGUGUUACAGUUGCUUCAGAAGGCGUUGGUACAGAUACUCACAGACUCGACACCUGUAUGAUGUUAUAUCAUCAUCAUGUGACCUGAACUGACCGCUCACUCCAUAUCCUCCCUAGCUGCAUCCCAAAUAGCAUCCUAUUCCCUUUCUAGUACACUACUCAUGACCAGGACCCUGCACCACAAGGUCAAAAGUAGUGCACUAUUAUAAGGAAUGGAGUGAAAUUUGGAAUGUAAUCAACUGUCUUUAUUACCUGUAAGCCUAUCUAGUCUGGACCACCAGGCAGUGUAGCCAUACAUGUACUGAAACCUUAUAACACAGUCCUACAGUAACCAAUACAGCUCUGUUCUACUCAUCACAAAACUCCACUCUAUAAGGGGUAAACCAAUCACACGUGCUGUGAUGUCAUCAUAGAAUCGCUCUCAUGAUAGGCCAUUGUAUUUUUCUGGGGACUUCCAACUCUGUGCAAAGUACAGCUUCACUUGAGUCGACCAUGAAAUCUUUAUAAAGGGACGUUAAUAAUACGAGAAUAUACGAACGUAGUGCAGAAACGAUUAUCAUUUAAAAAGCUUUUGACGGGCGAUAUUUAACUGACAUAGUAACAACGACAAGGUGAUCUUUAAAAUGAUUUAUGGCAUAUAAAUCUCUAUGUUUGGCUAAAGCCUCUUAGAACUAACGGUUGCUUUGAUAGAUAGAAGGGGUUAGAAGACAUUAAAAAGAGUAAGAAAAAAAAAAGUGAAGCACAAUUGAAUAAAACAGAUUUUUUUUUGUUGCAGACUCUGGCUAGUUUACAAAGAGAAACUGAUCAUCAAUAAUAACAUCGUUCACAAAGAGAAACCGAUCAUCAAUAAUAACAUAGCCUCUACUGUUAGUGUGGGUGGUUAGGGGCGGGGUCAGAAAACAGCCAAUAGAAAUGGUCCUAGAGGAAACAGAUAAGGGCUGAUACAGUGAUCCAUCCAUCGGACAGACUGCCUGUGUCGGACAGACUGCCUGUGGUGUAAAGACUGUUGGUGAAAGGGUGUAAAGACUGUUGGUGAAAGGGUGUAAAGACUGUUGGUGAAAGGGUGUUGGUGAAAGGGUGUUGGUGAAAGGGUGUUGGUGAAAGGGUGUAAAGACUGUACUCUAUGGGCUGCUUUAAGCGGAACGACCUAAUGAGGGGGACAGAGGGAGGAAGAGAGCGAGAACGGUGAAGACGGGGGUGAAGAGAGAGGUGGGGUUGAAGGGCGAGGGGGGUGAAGAGAGAGGUGGGGUUGAAGGGCGAGGGAGGGGGUGAAGAGAGAGGUGGGGUUGAAGGGCGAGGAAGGGGGUGAAGAGAGAGGUGGGGUUGAAGGGCGAGGGGGUGAAGAGAGGAGGAGGGGUUGAAGGGCGAGGGUGAAGAGAGAAGGGAUGUUGGUAUAUAGAGGAAUAUUAAAAUAAGCAAUAAAAUCACUGAUCAAUAAAAUCUAAUACAACUAAAUCAGACACGGAUAACAAUGGGAGAGUAAUUAUGUUGUUGUUGACUUUAUCCAUACUAGCUAGUGUCUAACUCAGGGUGUGACAUCAAUGUGUGUGUGGAUGUGUGUGUGUCAGACUGCAGCUCGGUACAAC